rnacentral:rRNA from 1 species
GACGGGGGAUGCAAGUGUUAUCCGGAAUCACUGGGCGUAAAGCGUCUGCAGGUGGUUUCCUAAGUCCACUGUUAAACCUUGAGGCUCAACCUCAAAUCUGCAUUGGAAACUAGGAGACUUGAGUAUAGUAGGGGUAGAGGGAAUUUCCAGUGGAGCGGUGAAAUGCGUAGAUAUUGGAAAGAACACCGAUGGCGAAGGCACUCUACUGGGCUAUUACUGACACUAAGAGACGAAAGCUAGGGGAGCAAAUGGG